rnacentral:rRNA from 1 species
UACGUAGGGGGCAAGCGUUGUCCGGAAUCAUUGGGCGUAAAGAGCGUGUAGGCGGCCAGAUAAGUCCGCUGUGAAAUCUCGAGGCUCAACUUCGAGCUGUCGGUGGAAACUGUCUGGCUAGAGUCCGGAAGAGGAGAAUGGAAUUCCUGGUGUAGCGGUGAAAUGCGCAGAUAUCAGGAAGAACACCCGUGGCGAAGGCGGUUCUCUGGGACGGUACUGACGCUGAGACGCGAAG